UAAUGUGUCCCCACAAUUUCAUAUGCUGGAAAUGUUACCCUUAGUGUGGCAAUGCUGAACAAUGGAAUCUUGAAGAGGUCAUGUGAUUCUGAAAGCCGUUAUUCAUUAGAAGAAUAGGGGAAUAUACCAGUUUUAACUGGCAACCUUUAUAGGAACUGAAAUGAUGGAGUUAAAAGAAACAUGUAUAGAUUAUCAAAUUAUUAAGACAAUGGGGUAAAAUAGAGAAAACUAUGAAAUAUUUUUUAUCCCUUAACACAAAAAGAUGAAUCUAAAACAAUAGUGGUGUUUUUCUAAGCAGGAAAAGCUUUUAGUGUGACCCACCCAUAAACCGUACUUCUGGUUGUUUUGGUUAGGACCUACCUCACAUUAAGAAUGGUGAGAGAAGCCACAUGUAAAUGAAACGACUGAUCGGCUUCCAUUCUUCCUGGCAGGGGCUGGUGGUGCUGUGGGGAGAACUAGGGAAAGUUUUGUGCACUCAAGAAUGGUUGCUGUUAAUAACUGAGCCUUGGAAAUGAUGCAAUGGGUCCUGCUGAUGGAAGCCAUAAUUUGAAGGAGAAUCAAUCCUAUUUUUUCUACUGAGCUUGCUACUUACUCUGAGUAGCAAGGGACAAACUCACCUUCUAGUUUCCCUGGCAUGUGACAAAAGCACAGCCAUCCCACCCAACAACGCCCCACGCAAACUGAAGACCACCUGCUCAACAACAAACAACACCCACGCAAGCUGAAGACCACCUGCUCAACAACAAACAACACCCACGCAAGCUGAAAGCCACCUGAAGACCUCUAGAGUGUAAGAAGGUGUCCAAUAACCGGGCGGCUGGAUGUUUCCAUGCGUCAAACUACCAUUAACACAAACACUUUAAAUGUUUUUUCAAAUUCUUUCCCCAUCUUCAUUUCUCCUUCUCUACCACCAAAUCCCCUCUGCACCCCCGGUCCUGUGCCAUUUUUUUUUUUUGGAACAAGAUUUCAUAUUUGUGAUCAAGAAUUGAAAAAUCUCGUUUGCAAUAGCAUUGAUGAACUAGGUUCAAAUAAAACAAGCCGUAUCUACA